rnacentral:rRNA from 1 species
GACGUAGGGCGCGAGCGUUGUCCGGAUUUAUUGGGCGUAAAGAGCUCGUAGGCGGCUUGUCGCGUCGAAUGUGAAAACCACGGCUCAACUGUGGGCUUGCAUUGAUACGGGCAGCUAGGAGUUCGGUAGGGGGAGACUGGAAUUCCUGGUGUAGCGGUGAAAUGCGCAGAUAUCAGGAGGAACACCGGUGGCGAAGGCGGGGUCUCUG